rnacentral:rRNA from 1 species
GACGAACGCUGGCGGCGUGCCUAAUACAUGCAAGUAGAACGCUGAAGGAGGAGCUUACUUCUCUGGAUGCGUUGCGAACGGGUGAGUAACGCGUAGGUAACCUGCCUGGUAGCGGGGGAUAACUAUUGGAAACGAUAGCUAAUACCGCAUAAGAGUAGAUGUUGCAUGACAUUUACUUAAAAGGUGCAAUUGCACCACUACCAGAUGGACCUGCGUUGUAUUAGCUAGUUGGUGGGGUAACGGCUUACCAAGGCGACGAUACAUAGCCGACCGGAGAGGGUGAUCGGCCACACUGGGACUGAAACACGGCCCAGACUCCUACGGGAGGCAGCAGUAGGGAAUCUUCGGCAAUGGACGGAAGUCUGACCGAGCAACGCCGCGUGAGUGAAGAAGGUUUUCGGAUCGUAAAGCUCUGUUGUAAGAGAAGAACGAGUGUGAGAGUGGAAAGUUCACACUGUGACGGUAUCUUACCAGAAAGGGACGGCUAACUACGUGCCAGCCGCCGCCGUAA